CGACGAGACUUAGCUAGUUAGUUAGCAGUUAGCAGUACAGCCCUGAACACAGUGUGAUUCCUGUGCACUUUGGGCUGUUUGUGCUGCAACUACAGCUACAACUCCUUAAGACCGAAGUUCCCGCGUCUCCGCCGUGCUUCAACUAUAGUCCAGACACUGAGCCAAGAAAGACUAACAGCGCUGAGACAGCUUGGAGGAAGGAAAGUGAAGAUGGAGGAGAGAGACUUUCAGCAAAGGAAAGACAGACAUCACAAAAUCAUGAGACAGAAGAGGCCCUGAAUUUAAGAGAGAUUUGCUACUGCCAUGAAAAGGUGUUGGAAUCAGGUGUGGUUGCUGUGAAGCUCCUGUGGGACGUUGGUGGACAUGAAUUAAGUUAAACCAGUGAAUACGUGAUGUAGAUGAACCGCGAGACUGAGUGACAUCAGGAG